rnacentral:rRNA from 1 species
UACGUAGGGGGCUAGCGUUGCUCGGAAUCACUGGGCGUAAAGGGUGCGUAGGCGGGUCUUUAAGUCCGGGGUGAAAUCCUGGAGCUCAACUCCAGAACUGCCUUUGAUACUGAAGAUCUUGAGUUCGGGAGAGGUGAGUGGAACUGCGAGUGUAGAGGUGAAAUUCGUAGAUAUUCGCAAGAACACCAGUGGCGAAGGCGGCUCACUGGCCCGAUACUGACGCUGAGGCACGAAAGCGUGGGGAGCAAACAGG